ACGUACGCUGGCGGCGUGCUUAACCCAUGCAAGUCGAACGGAAAGGCCCUGCUUUUGUGGGGUGCUCGAGUGGCGAACGGGUGAGUAACACGUGAGUAACCUGCCCUUGACUUUGGGAUAACUUCAGGAAGCUGGGGCUAAUACCGGAUAGGAGCUCCUGCUGCAUGGUGGGGGUUGGAAAGUUUCGGCGGUUGGGGAUGGACUCGCGGCUUAUCAGCUUGUUGGUGGGGUAGUGGCUUACCAAGGCUUUGACGGGUAGCCGGCCUGAGAGGGUGACCGGCCACAUUGGGACUGAGAUACGGCCCAGACUCCUACGGGAGGCAGCAGUGGGGAAUAUUGCACAAUGGGCGGAAGCCUGAUGCAGCAACGCCGCGUGCGGGAUGACGGCCUUCGGGUUGUAAACCGCUUUCGCCUGUGACGAAGCGUGAGUGACGGUAAUGGGUAAAGAAGCACCGGCUAACUACGUG
rnacentral:rRNA from 1 species